CACUUUAGUUUCCAUUCCUCAAACAUUUUGCAUAGAUUGACUAAGCUUAGUAUGAUGCUAGUAGACAUUUGACAUUUCUGAGAUUUCUCCCAAUUUAAAUGGCCUCCUACAUUUGCAUCAAGUUGGCUUGCAUUGGCUGGGUUCAAAUUACAGCGUUUGGCUUUGAGCUCUGAGAAAAUCUGGUUUUAAACCGUGCCGUCUCUCAUUACAGGUGCCAUGGUCUUCUAGCCACACUGAAUGGACGACAGCAGGGCUGGAUUGUCAUUGGCUGGCCUGAAGCACCUCUGCUGGGUGGGUGUGGUGUGGCUGCGGUCGGUCACGGCCACUCUCGAAAACAAACCAUCUAUCCACUGUUGAGAGGAGCCACAGAGAAGAGCUGAAAAAUCUACAGAAGAGAGGCCACAAAGGCCUUCUCCCUACAGCACAACACUAAUUCAUGCCAUGCUUGUUCAUUGCCAAAUCAGAGGCACAAGGACACAAUACACUCUUACACCAAUAUCUACUCUUUGGAAACUCUUUUGCAAUCCAUCGAGGUCAAGAACAUUCCAUUGAACUAUGAUAAAUGACAACUAAAGCAUGAUUUUCCUUUCUUCUUCACUUUGAUUGGCAGUAGAGCAUGUUCAUGUUGCUUCCAAAACGCCUUAUGGACACUGCGUUAAACAAAACAUCUACAGAAAUGCAGAACAUCCCCAUGGGAAAGUGCAAGUUUACUCGAGCAGGAUGUGAAAUGCCUGUGGUACUUCUAUUUAACAGAUAUAUAAAUA